rnacentral:misc_RNA from 1 species
GUUGGACUGAUAGAAAUCACUUGUUUUGGCGGGUUUUCCCUGAGUUGACAACCAAUCUCCUCUAGAGCCUUCAGCACAACAGGUACAUCUCCUGAUAUCUGCAGGACUCGAUCAGAUAGAAGCACAUAGAGGCAACUGAUUUGGAGCCAGUACUGUGAUGGUGGCACCGGAUGAAUUCCUUAAUUUCUCAAUGUUUUGACCAGACAUCCCUAUCAAAGAACCGGCCUGCGAACCUGCUAUUAACAUUCUUAUAGUGU